AUUUAGGGACAAAACGGAAAUGCCCAAUAAUGAUACAUAUCCCAUUAAAAUACUGUAAAAUAUUACGGUACUUCACUUGUAGAAGUAAUUUUAAAAUUAUUCUCCGAUCCGAGUUUAUAUUUUGACGUCAUCAAUUUUUCAUCUCACUAUCUAAACAUUUUUGCUAAAAGUGAACCUCAGAAUUGGAAUCUUCAUGCUCAAAUUAGUCUAUACCACACACAAAUUUCAUGAUGUUUGGAUAUUCAGGGCGUGAGUUGAACGGCGUUUUGACAAUGUUGUUUUCGCUAUGUAAGCAUAUUUUCUUUGAAGCGGAAGUUCCUGUGAAAUGUAUAAAAUAUAGAAAAACAAAAUAAGACUUAUAACCCUCAACCCAAAAUUUCCAAUGGACUAAUUUGAGCAUGAAGAUUUUAAUUCUUCAGUCCAUAUCUGCUAAAUAUGAAGAUGAAAAAUCAAUGAUGGCAUGAUGCGAACUCGAAUCGGAGAAUGUACUUUUUAAAAAUAUAG
rnacentral:lncRNA from 1 species